GAGGAAGAACGCAGCGAAAUGCGAUACUUGGUGUGAAUUGCAGAAUCCCGUGAACCAUCGAGUCUUUGAACGCAAGUUGCGCCCGAAGCCAUUAGGCCGAGGGCACGCCUGCCUGGGCGUCACACGUCGUUGCCCCCCCAUCUACUCCUUCGGGAUUGCGGGGGGCGGAUGAUGGCCUCCCGUGCGCCUCGCCGCGCGGUUGGCAUAAAUGCCAAGUCCUCGGCGACGCACGCCACGACAAUCGGUGGUUGCGAAACCUCGGUUGCCCGUCGUGUGCGGUCGUCGCGCAUCGAGGGCUCGAAAAAAUUGCCGGGUUCCGGCUCGGCUUUCAACGCGACCCCAGGUCAGGCGGGGUUACCCGCUGAAUUUAAGCAUAUCAAUAAGCGGAGGA
rnacentral:misc_RNA from 1 species